rnacentral:rRNA from 1 species
GGGGGGGGGGGGGGGGGGGGGGGGGAGGGGGGGGGGGGGGGAGCGGGCGGGGGGGGUGCGCGGCGGAGGGGAGGGGCGGGCGGGGGAGGAACGCGUGGAUAACCGACCGAGAAGGCGGGGAGAACGUGGGGCAACCGGAGCUGAGACCGGAUAAUAUAUUGAACCGCAGGGUUCAAGAGUGAAAGACGGUUGUGCGGUCACUGAGAGAGGGAUCCGCGCCGCAUUAGCUAGUUGGUAAGGUAACGGCUUACCAAGGCUCAGAUGCGUAGCCGACCUGCGAGGGUGAUCGGCCAAACUGGACCUGAGACACGGUCCAGACUCCUACGUGAGGCAGCAGUAGGGAAUCUUCCGCAAUGGGCGAAAGCCUGACGGAGCAACGCCGCGUGAGUGAUGAAGGUCUUCGGAUCGUAAAACUCUGUUAUUAGGGAAGAACAAAUGUGUAAGUAACUAUGCACGUCUUGACGGUACCUAAUCAGAAAGCCACGGCUAACUACGUG